UGCCACCCGUCAUUUUGGAAAGUACCCAUUUGCACAAGGGCCAGAAUCCACACCACCGACAGAUGUAAGGCAUUUCACUGAUUUACUAAUGAAAUUAAUGUUGAAAGGAGCCCUCGAGCGAGACAAUUGCUCUAAGCCUCCUAUCAAGCUGAAAUAUAGCGCCGUCACGCUUCGCAAAGGAGGAGUGAAGUUUCAGGUCUCCGAAGACAAGUGUUUGUUCAACGUACAUUUUAAGAACGGAGUGCUGAAAAUACCACUCUUGGAAGUUGAUGAUUCCUUCGAACGUUUUGUACGAAAUGUCAUGGCCUUGGAGUACUGCUCCAAACCGAGUGAAGCUCGCAUGGUCAGCAACUACUUUAAGUUUAUGGACCAUCUUAUUGACAGGGCAGAAGACGUGGCUUUGCUAGCUGAAGAGGGAAUUAUUAAGAACUGGCUAGGUGAUGACGCCGCAGUUUCAAAGUUGAUGAACAACCUUAGCCAACGUAGUGAAAAAACUUGUUAUUAUAGUGAUAUCUGUCAAACGCUGAAUGCCUACCAUGAGAACCCCUGGAACCGUAGAAAGGCAACCUUGAAACUCGUAUAUUUCAGCAAUCUUUGGAGAGGUACGGGAACUAUUGCUGCAGCUUUCCUUCUAAUCCUCACUUUGAUACAGACUAUAACUUCCCUGAAAUCGUCAUUCUAGGAUUAAAUCUUGUUUAUUUCUAUUAAUCCUACGCAAUAAUUGAUGGGUUUGUUAUUGUUGUAUUCCUUAGAAAUUGUUGUUUUAAUCUAGUUCAAAGCUCGCGUAGUUCUAAUGUAGCUAUUUCUUGUUGUAUUGUCCUGAAACUGAUUCUGUACCUGUUCCCUGUGUGAUGUCCUUUCCUCUCAAAUCUCUCUUCUUUUAAGCUCUUCUUCUGAUUAAAUAAAGCUGAAGAAUGCAUGAUCUCUAUUUUCACUUGAUCAUGGCAACUGUGAAGCCUUAAAUCCUAAACUAGUCGAAUUAUGCCAAGUAAAUACCACAAGUCAAUAUUGGCAUUAAUUUCCAGAUUCAUAAGCUAUCGACCUCACAACCAGGAUUUCCUGAAGAACUUCCAUCAAUGUCAAUUUCUUUGCAUCCUGCGGAGGACCUAACCACGAAACCGAACACGUUUUUUAAUGAACAACUAGGUUCGAAUCCCUCUUUUGCAACCAAAGAAAAAAAAAAUACUAUGGUUUCUCUGGGUCAAUUUUGUUGCUCUCCAUGACAAGCAUUUUGAUCCGUGAUUCCUUGACGCCAUGCUCAUUCAUCAACCAUAGCUCAAAACUGUCGUCGUCGUCAAGACCACAAGAAUAGAUGGAGUUUUCAUAAACUCCAAUUUCUAUAUCCCAGCAAUAGUUAUCCAGAGAGUGAGAAUGAUCUAAAUUUCUCGUUUCCAAGAUCAAACGCACAUAUUACAGUAGUGUUAAUCAAUGUUAAUGGUUUCAUAACGAUCAACUAUAUAACAUCCAUAAAUGAACAUGGCGAAAGAAGGCCAACAAUCUGGGUAGCCUUGACAGCCGAGGACUUCUCCAGGUGCCAGUCUCGAUUAUGAAUACCUUAGCAGGAAUUCAGAAGAAUCUAUUGACUCAUAAACUCUAAUAACCUUAUCAAUUUAUGUGGUUAAUUUAUACACGAUCCAUGUGCCUCUAUAAAUUUAUCUAUAAUAUAAAGUUUCCAAAAAUUUCAAUGUCACCCUAAACUAAUAAUAAAACCCCAAUCCCUUUUGAGAGCCGAAUGCCUCUGAUCUCUACCGUAGGCGUCGAAGAAGAAUAAAAAUAAAAAAAAGCCCCCAAAAAAGAAGAAAAAAACAUGAAUGGAGUUUUAAACAACCCAUAUUUUGAAUUUUCUUUUUUAAAAAAGGUUUUCAAUUUUGUUUUAGAUAUUAUUACACAUUGAAGAUUCUUGAUAAUUUUUUAAAAAUAUAUAUAUUAAAAAGAUCAUAUUUUUCUUUUUGUUAGUUACCAUGUGUUUAGUAUUAAUGUGUAAAAUGCCUUUUAAAAUGCUUUUUACAGUGAAAAAAAAAAAUUAGUAUAGACACGUACCAGUCAAAUGCCAACGCUCUAGUACUUUCUCUCAUUGACUUAGAAUAGGUAUUUACUAUAUUUUUUCUUGCACUGUACCACUGAUUAAGUUAAAUUUUUUUAAUAUAAAAAGAUGAUUAGAUGAUGAUAAUUUGAGUUAAAAUGAUAAAUACGUGUGACAUAAAAUUGGGAUAUUUAAUAAAAAAAAAAGGUGAAAAAAAACUUACAAAUUUGAAGGGCCAAUAUCUUAAUUUCAAAUGAUAAAAUUUAAAAACAAAUCUCAAAGAAAAAAAUUCUGAGUCGGCAUGAGUUCACUUAACCAACCCGUCACCCGCUUCAUAAAAUCAGGAUAAAAAAUAUUUUUUUUAGAAAUGACCUAGAAAAAAGGAUCGAACAUAAAUAAAUAAAAAAUUGAAAAAAAAAUUGAAUCACCCCAAAUUAACUUAACUAAUAUGCAACUCAGGAUAACACUAUGGGGAAAAAUGCAUAAAAAAUAAAAAAAGCUUAAUACCCAAUAAUUUAAUAUUAAAUGAUGAAAUUUAAAAAAAAUUAAAAAAACAUUGAAAAAAAAUUCGAACCAGUCUAUAUUAACUUACUAACCCGCGACUCAAGAUAACUCCCAUAAAAAAAAAAGUGAAAAAAAAUAAAAAAGCUCAAGGCUUAAUAAUUUAAUAUCAAAUGAUAAAAUUGAAUUUUGUUAUAUAAAAAAAAACUAAAAUUAAACCGGGCUACUCUUCAAAAUUAAUGAUAUGGUUGGAUAAAAAUAUUGAGGGAUUAAAUUGAGAAAAAAAAAACAGUUAAAAGAAUUAGGACUAAAAUUAUAUUAAAAAAAAGAAAUAAAAUGUUUAGAAAUAAAAUUCAAAACAAAAUUAAGAAAAAGAUUAAAAAAAAGUGAAAUUAAAAAAUGAGGGCAAAAAUUGGAUUGGAAAAAUUAAUGAAAUAAAAUGUUAUGUAAAAAUAUCAAGAAAAUAAUAAAAAAAACAAUUAAAAAAAUAAGUAUUAUAUUUUAUAUAAAAAAUAAAAUCAAAUUGAAAAUAAUAAAAUUCAAAAAAAUUCAAAACAAAUAAAGAACAUUAAAAAAAGUUAAUGGGAAGAUAACUUCUGAAUUUUUGCUAACCCAGUACGGAUAGGUACAUCCGAGUCACAUGUCAGUGCUCUAGUGCUCUCUCUCAUUGACUUGUUUAGGUAUUUACUAGAAAGAUUACUCGUAUUAUGUUAGUGGUCGAGUCAAAUUUUGUUUAAUAAAAAAUAAUAAUUAAGUGAUUAUAAUUUGAGUUAAUAUAACUAACACUUGUAAUAUGAGAUUGGGAUAUCUAAUAAAAUAAAAAAUAAUAAUAAAUUACUUUAAAAUUUAAAGUCUAACAACCUAACUUCAAAUGAUAAAAUUAAAAGAAAAAACAAAAUCAAAUUCAAAAAAAAAACCUCGAAAAAAAAAUCUGAGUCAACAUGGAUUCACUCAACUAACUUGUCACCUGUGACAUAAGAUUAGAUAAAAAAAAUAUUUUUUUAAAUGAUUUUAAAAAAAUGAUCAAAGUUAAAUAAAAAAAAAAACUUUGAUAAAACAAAUAUGAGUCACUCCGGGUUAACUUAACUAACCCGCAACCUGAGAUAACUCCAUAGAAAAAAAAAAUAUAAAAAAUAAAAAUGCUUAAGAAAUCAAAAGGCUUAAGAUCUAGUAACCUAAUAUAAAAAAAAAUUGAAAAAAAAAUUAAUAUCAUGUUAUAAUAUCAUGGUUUAAAUUCGGUAUAAAAAAUACUGUAUUUGCAUGGUUUUAAAACAAAAUUUCUAAUAUCAUGUUCCCUCUUGAUCAUGACCUAUUCCGGGAGAAGGGAAAGGGAGGGAUUUAAAAGUUUAGAAAUUAUGCUAUGCAUACAAAUAAUUUAUAUUAAAUUUUUAAAUAUACUAUAAUGUUAGGUGAUAAGCAGUGAAGUAUAGGUCUCAAAAAUAUUAAACAAUUGGACAAGCAUGAAAGAGUAAUUAUCACAUUUUAUACAAAAAAUUUAUAUGAUUUUCUUUUAGCAUCGCUCUUAAAAUUUACAUGGUGGCAAAAGGAGGCUUAAUUUUGUUAAAUAAUAUAGGAAUUACUAUAUUAUUUUGGUGAAAUAUAUCUUAAAAAAUGCCAAGAUAUAGAAUACAUUGAUGAAAAUGGCUUUACUUUUCUUGAUCUAUCAAGCUGAAAUAUAGCAUGUUGAAAAUACCAUGCUUGGCAAGGCAGGAGUCAAGUUUAAGGUCUCCAGAGACAACUGUUUGAUCAAUAUACAAUUUGAGAACAGAGUGUUGAAAAUACCACGCUUGGAAGUUCAUGAUUCUUUCGAACGUUUUGCACGAAAUCUCAUGGCCUGGGAGCAGUGCUACAAACCGGGUGAAGCUUAUAUCAGAGUUUGUUUAAUAGUACAGUUGCUAUUGCUUUUUAAAUAAUUUUUUGUGUCGAAAUAGAUUUUGAAUAUAUUAUCUCACUCAUGCUUCGAAGGCAGGAGUCAAGUUUAAGGUCUCCAGAGACAACUGUAUGAACAACAUACAAUUUGAGAACGUACUGUUGAAAAUACCACGCUUGGAAGUUAAUUAUUCUUUCGAACGUUUUGCACGAAAUGUCAUGGCCUGGGAGCAGUGCUACAAACCGUAUGAUCGCUUGCUAAGUUUAUGGACCAUCUUGUUAAGACUGCAGAAGACGUGGAUUUGCUAGUUGAAGAGGGAAUUAUUCUCAACUGUCUACGUGACAGUGCAACAGUCUCAAGUUUGAUUAACAAUCUCUGCCAACAAAUUUGUGAAACUUAUUCUUAUUAUAGUGAUAUCUGUCGAAGGAUGAAUGAGCACUAUGAGAACCGCUGGAAAGGCAACCUUGAAACUUGUAUAUCUCAGCAAUGUUUGGAGAGGUACGGGAACUGUUGCUGCACCUAUAUAUCCAGCUAAUCUUCACUUUGAUACAGACUAUAAUUUCCGUAAAACCAUCAUUCUAAUAUUGGACAGGACAAGGGAAGUGCUUCAAAUAUGAACAAGGAUGACACCGUAACAAGAUUUUCAGAAGAAGAAAGGAACCUUCAAUAUAUUUUCCAACGGCUGAAAGAUAAGUUAAAGAGGUUGACCCCUCAACAGAGUAGGCCUGAGUGCUGUAUCUACGGGGUUCCCAGCUCACUUCGAGACACGAAACCGGAAGCCUACUAUCCACAACUGAUUUCAAUAGGUCCUCUUCACCACGGUGAUACAAGACUAAUGGCCAUGGAAGAGGAGAAAUUAAGAUACUUAAAAGAGUUAAUUGAACAGAGUGAGAUGGUUGAGCUGAUAAUUAAAGAAUAUAUGUUCUGAGCUACUUUCAGCAAAUGGAAGAGAAUAUCCGAAGCUGUUAUUCAGAGAGCCUCAUGGAAAUUAAUAGCUGUGAUUUCAUAGAGCUAAUCCUGCCGGAUGCCAUCUUCAUCAUUGAGUUUUGAAGGAUUCAUACGUCCUAAAAAAUUUGAUCGCAGGAUGACAUUUUGCUUACGAGAAGACUUGAUGCUACUUGAAAACCAACUACCUUUCUUCGUUAUCGACCAUAUUUAUCACGAUCUCAAUCAUAUCAUACAUACAAAAGACAUUCCUUCUCUAGAUCUUGUCGCCCAUCAUUUUCUAUGGUUCCAGAUUACCCAAGGGCCAGAAUCCAAACAACGGAUAGAGGUAAGGCAUUUCACUAAUUUACUAAGGAAUUUGUACGUUGAAUGGAGCCCUCGAGCGUCGUAAUUACCUCUUAGAUUGUAAUUCCUUAGCUGGACAGUAUUUAAUGGAGAACAGAACAAAAGAUAGACAGAGUUUGUUUCUUUGCAAUUGCUUUUCUUAAGAAUAUAAGUUGGAGUGCGUCUUUUGCAGAGAGAUUCCGUGUUGCUAGUUACAUGUUAUUCUUAUUAGAUUCAACGAGAGGUUGAGCCAGGUAGCAUUUACAUCAACAUGUCAAGUGCUUCAGACAUUGAUGAGGAUACUAACAAGGCAAACGCUUCAAAUAACAAAAUGGCUUCGGACUUGGACGAAGGAUAUUAUGAGAUUGGCAGCAAAGACCGGGAACUUCGAAAUAUUUGGCUAGAGCUGGAAGGAUUAAUGGAGUUGCCCCCUCAAAAGGACCGGGCUGAUGAAUGCUGUAUCUACAGGGUUCCCAACUCACUUCGAGUCAGAAAUCCGGAAGCCUACACUCCACAGCUGAUUUCAAUUGGUCCUUUUCACCACAAUGAUGAAAGACUAGAGGCCAUGGAAACGCUGAAAAGAAAAUAUCAAGGAGAGUUCCUUAAAAGGAAUAACAUGGAUGAGAAGAAAUUUAUGGAUUUUCUAAGAAGAAUUCAGAAAAAAGAAGAGAGUAUCCGACUCUGUUAUUCAGGGAGCUUCGGAAUCCAAAAACCUCUCAACAUACCUGGGAAGGUUCGCAAUGACAUCGCACUCUCGCAAGGGAGUACACCAAUUUUUUAAGUGGUGUUUGAAAUUCUUUUUUUGGUGCUUUUUAAAAAUAAAUUUUACAUGAAAACAUUAAAAUGAUAAUUUUUUAGUAUUUUUAAAUAAUUUAAAAGUAUUAAUAUUAAAAGUUAGCUCUUAAUUGACCCAAAAACUUUGAUUUUCUUGUAAUUUUAUUUCUAAUUUCAAUCAAUUGAUUUGGUAAAAAGUAAAUUUGAUAUUUUACAAUUCCAAUCUUCCCAAAUAAGUUCACAUUAGCCUUCCAAACUUAAUUUUUUAUCAAUUAAAAUAAAUAAAUAACUUAUCUUAAUAUAUAAUUUCAAAUGAAAAAUUAUUUUAAAAAACAUGUCAUUUAACAAUUCAAAACUCCAAACACAUACCUACAGGCUACAGCGACCAGCAUGGCUGCUUGGAAUGAAAAGGAGGAUGAAAAAUAACAAAUCAAUGUAAUCUCAAACGCGCAAUGUAUAUUUGGCCCAACCAAGGGGUCGAUAAGCAGAGCAAGACAUAUCAUAAAACGCCCAAUUCAUAUUGAUCCCUUUGUCCUAAAAAAAGACCCCUUUAGUCAAUUAGAUUAUAAGUUAAAUAAAUUCUCCGUUGACUAGUAAAUACGAGAUGAAAUGUCCGCGCACUGCCACGGGCUUAUAAAACAAAUACACUUGAUAGUGUUAUAAUUGUGAACCAAUGCUAGAUAAAUAAUAGAAAUUAAAGGUAUGAUAGAGCAAAUAUUUCAUGACGGGAAAAAAAGUUGUGAUGGUGAUCAAAAACUCAGAGAUUAAACAAAAUGAUUUGUAGAUAUUUAUAGUGUUUUGUGAGGAAAGAUACAGUGCUUUCACUAUAUGAUUUAGCUUUUUAGUUAAUAAAAAGAAAAAAAAAUUACAAAGCUAAAUUCUCUAUCAACUUAAUAUUAAAAAACAAAACCAAUAAAGAUAAUUUUGGAAGGAAAAAAACCCAUGAGAAAAAAUAUUGCUGCAAUUGACAAUGUUCUGUAAGGAAAACUAUAGCGCUUUUCCCAAUAAAAUAAAAUAAAAAACCAUUUAGAGAAAUAUUGUAGCAAUCCACAGUGUUUUGUGAGAAAAAACUACAACGCUUUCCUCAUAUGAUUUAGCUUUAUUGUAAUUAUAAUUUUUAACCAACUCAAUAUUAAAAAAAAAUCGACAAGAUAAUUUUGGAAAAAAAUUAAAAAAAAUCACAUGGAAAAACACUGCAACAAUUCAUAGUGUUUUAAAAAAUAUAAAACUUAAAAUUCUUAAUCAGCUCUAAUAAUUAAAAAAAAAUCGUCAGAGACAAUUUUAGAAAAAAAAAAACAAAACAAACACCAAAAAAAGAGGAAAAUCAUGUUGGAAACACUGUAGCAAUUCACAGUGUUUUGUGAUGAAAGCUACAGUGCUUCCCCACAUGAUUUAGCCUUAUUUGUAAUGACUUAUAAUUGUAAUUCACAAACAACUCAAUAUUCAAAAAAAAAUAAAAUUGAAAAGGAUAAUUUGAAAAAAAAUUAUAACAAAAAAAACCAUGCGGAGAGACACUGUAGCAAUCCACAAUGUUUUAUGAGCAAACUACAAUGCUUUUCCCACAUUUGAUUAAGCUUUAUUACAAAAGUUAAAUCUUCAAACUCAAUAUUAAAAAAAAUAAAAUGGACGAAGAUAAUUUUGGAAAAAAAUAUUACAAAAAAGAAAACACAAAAGAAACUGAAAAAAACCAUAUGAGAAAAAUUGUUUAAUCCAUAGUGUUUUGUGAGGAAAAACUUGUAAUUGCAAUUCUUAACCAGCUUCAAUAUUUAAAAAAUAAAAUUGACAAAGAUAAUUUUAAGGAAAAACAUCAUAAAACAGGAAAAAACCAUGUGAGAAAACACUUGUAGCAAUCAACAGUAAUUUUCGAGGAAAUUUACAGUGCUUUCCUCACAAUUAUAACUGUAAUUUUUAACCAGCUCCAUAUAAAAAAAUUAAAAAAAAAAAAAAAAAAAGAUAAUUUCGGAAAAAUAAAAAAAAAAAUCAUGCAGAGAAACAUUGUAAAAAUCAACAAUGUUUUAAAGAAAAAAAAUUACAAAACUAAACUCUCAAUCAGCUCAAUAUUAAAAAAAAUCGACAAAUAUAAUUUUGAAAAAUAAAAAAUAAAAUAAAAAAAUAUGUGGAAAAACAUCGCAGCACUCCACAGUAUUUUAAAGAAAAAAAUUAGAAAGCAAAAAUUUUAACCAAAUCAAUAUUUAAAAGGUAAAAUCAACAAAAAUAAUUUUGGAAAAAAAUUAAUAAAAAAUGAAAAAAAUAAAAAAUAGGAAAGUUGAAAAAAAAAAGUAAAUUUGAAAAAAAAAAAAAAAAAGAAACGAAAAAAAGAGAGGAAAAGUUAGAAAAAAAAAAAAAAAAGGAGGAAAGCACUGUUAAAAAUGAAAAAAUAGAAAAGUUGAAAAAAAAAAUUUGAAAAAAAGAAGAAGAAAAGAAACGACAAAAAAAAAAGGAAAAGUUAGAAAAAAAAAAAAAGAAAGCACUGUGAAUUACUGUUGUAAUUCACAGGGUUUUGUGUGUGGGGGAACAGUGAUUCCCCCACACUAUUUAGAGUGUUGUAUAAUAUAAUAAUAUUUUCCUCUUUAUUAUUGUCAUGAUUUGGAGGGUUGAUAGGAGCAGGAAGCCAUCCAAGGAGAGAGAGGCUGCAGCAGGAAAAAGAGGCCGGCUGCUGCUUGGGAUCAUAUAUAAAAGAUUUAGUCGUCCGAUCAUCGAUCUCUCCAAGGUCAGCCCUGGCUUACUAGUUUUUCUUUUAAAUAUAUAUUUAUGUACAGAGAGAGAGAGAGAGAGCCUAGACCGAAGAGAAGUCAGCUAGAUUUUGAUCUUGUAAAAUGCUGAUGCUGUUAACUCGGUUCACGACUUAAAAAAGCUUAGCUACAGUACCCGGACCUUAAUUUACAGGGAAAAAGGUCCGGGUAGAAAGCAUUAUAUAUAUGUGUGUGUGUGAGAGAGAGAGAGAGAGAGAGAGAGUUUCACAAAUCGUUGAAGUUCGUUUCUUGCUCUGGCUUUCUUGCCUGUAUGAAACGGCAUAUAAUAAUUAUCUUCUUCUUUUUUAUGCUAGCACUUUAUAUAUAUAAAUGGUAUGGAUGAAGACAAUUGAUUGAAACCUUUUAUGUUUGCGACAACCCAAGACAUUUUAUACAAAAACUUUACACGAUUUUCUUAAGAUUUACAUGUUGGCAUAAAGUGCCUUGAUAUUGUGAAAUAAUAAAGAAAUUGCUAUAUUAUUUUUGUUAAAAUAUAUCUCAAAAGUGCCUUAUUCUGAUGAAAAAAGCAACACUCAAAAUUGAACUGUACACCUGCCAUUCAUUCUUGGUUUUGUUUUGUUACCGAUCCAGAAUGGAAAAGGGUAAAUUUACUGCAAGAGAUUCAAACAUGAAAAAUGAUGUUGAAAAGGCAAGUGCAUCGAGUAUGGAAGAGGACAAGGCUAGCGCUUUAGACAUUGAUGAGGAUACUAACAAGGCAAGUGCAUCGAAUAUUGAAGAGGACAAGGCUAGCGCUUCAGACAUUGAUGAGGAUACUAACAAGGCAAGCGCUUCAAAUAUGAAAAUGGUUUGGGACUGGGACGGAGGAUAUUAUGAUAUUGACAACGUAGAAUGGGAACUUCGAAAUAUUUGGCUAGAGCUGGAAGGAUUAAAGGAGUUGCCCCCUCAAAAGGACCGGGCUGAUGAAUGCUGUAUCUACAGGGUUCCCAACUCACUUCGAGUCAGAAAUCCGGAAGCCUACACUCCACAGCUGAUUUCAAUAGGUCCUUUUCACCACAAUGAUGAAAGACUAGAGGCCAUGGAAACGCUGAAAAGAAAAUAUCAAGGAGAGUUCCUAAAAAGGAAUAACAUGGAUGAGAAGAAAUUUAUGGAUUUUCUAAGAAGAAUUCAGAAAGAAGAAGAGAGUAUCCGACUCUGUUAUUCAGGGAGCUUCAGAAUCCGAACAGAACGUUUUGUAAAGAUGAUCGUGCUGGAUGCUGUCUUCAUCAUUGAGUUUUUGAAGGAUUCAUAUAAUGAUGACUUUCCUCAAAAUCUUGAUACCAGGAUGAUAUCUUGCAUAGGAGAAGACUUGAUGCUACUUGAAAACCAACUACCUUUCUCCGUUAUCGACUCUAUAUAUAGCGAGUUUUAUUACCCUCGCCAAGAUGAACCAAACAUUCCUUUUCUUGAUCUUGCCACCCGUCAUUUUGAAAAUUACCCAUUUGCACAAGAGCCAGAAUCCACACCACCGACAGAUGCAAGGCAUUUAGAAUCCACACCACCGAGGCAUUUCACUGAUUUACUAAUGAAAUUAAUGUUGAAAGGAGCUGCCCUCGGGCGAGACAAUUGCUCUAAGCCUAUCAAGCUGAAAUAUAGCGCCGUCACGCUUCGCAAAGCAGGAGUGAAGUUUCAGGUCACCGAAGACAAGUGUUUGUUCAACGUGCAUUUUGAGAACGGAGUGUUGAAGAUACCACUCUUGGAAGUUGAUGAUUCCUUGGAACGUUUUGUACGAAAUGUCAUGGCCUGGGAGCAGUGCUACAAACCGAGUGAAGCUUACAUCAGCAACUACUUUAAGUUUAUGGACUAUCUUAUUGACAGGGCAGAAGACGUGGCUUUGCUAGCUGAAAAGGGAAUUAUUAAGAACUGGCUAGGUGACGACGCCGCAGUUUCAAAGUUGAUGAACAAUCUUAGCCAACGUUGUGAAAAAACUUCUUAUUAUAGUGAUAUCUGUCGAACGCUGAAUGACUACUAUGAGAACCCCUGGAACCGUAGAAGGGCAAC
rnacentral:lncRNA from 1 species